ACUCUUCAUGCCCGCCAAAUGCGAUCAGGUGUGUCGAAUUUCGGCGACCGGGCUAAUACCUUUCGCCUGCGCCACCCACACAGCCGGCAAUAAUGGUGAGAUUGGUCUGGCACUUGGUUGUCUUGCAGUUGUGCCUGCUGAAGGCAGCGCCUGCUAGGAAUGACCGUCGCUCAGGUCGCCCGUCGCCCAUCGAACCGCGAAGCCAAUGGAGUUCCGCCCCCGACGUUCGACCGCUGCACUACAACCUGAGUUUGUUGACGGAGGUGGACGAGGUGAAUCUGCACGGCACCUUCCACGGCGAGCUGACCAUCCGGGUGCACGUGUGGCGGGAAACCCGCACCAUUGUCCUCAGCACGAGUGGAUUGAAAGUGGGCCCCAAAGUGUGGCUCAUCCGCAAGAACACCGGCGGCCGGGUGGCGGUGCGCAAGCUGUGGCAUGAUGUGCGCCACCAGCGAUUCGGCAUCCACUUCAAGAGCCUUCUCUGGCUGGGCGAGGAGUACAGCCUGAUGCUGAAGUUCAGCGGCCAGCUGUCCCGCACCAGUGGCUACUUUGUGGGCGGCUACGUCGACGCCAGCAGCCAUCCGCAGUGGGUGGCGGUCAGCCAGCUGGCGCCCAACCUGGCCAACACCGUCUUUCCCUGCUUCGAGGACCCCACUCUCCUCAGUCCCUUCGUCCUCAAUUUGGCCCACACAAGGAACACCAAUGCGGUGAGCAACACGCGGGUGCGCGCCACCUCCGACCACGAGAGGGAUAACUACAUGUGGACAAGCUUCCACCAGACUCCGCCGACGUCUGUCCAGAAGUUGGCCUUCUCGAUCAAUCGGUUCACGGGACAGAAAUCCCCAAGAUUGGCAAAGUGCCCCGAGCUGGUGACCUGGUUGCGACCGAGGAUUGCCGAUCAGGGGGCCUACGCCAUCGGCAUCGCGCCCCAGAUCAUAGUUUUCUUUGUGGGCCUCUUCGGCAAGCCGUAUCCGUCGGUUAAGAUUGACCAGCUGGUUCUGCCCGAUACCGCUUAUCAGAGCCACGAGCACGUGGGCUUGGUCAGUUACCCGGAGAGAGCGUUCCUCUACAGUGAGCAGGGCUCGACGGCGAUGGCCAAGCAGCAGGUGGCCAGCCAUGUGGCCCAGGAGUUCUCCCACCAUUGGUUCUCCGACCUGGAGAAUCCGGCCCUCUACUGGCUGCACUACGGCCUGUCCGACUACCUGGCCGGCUUCGCCGUGGACAAGGUGGAGCCCACGUGGCGACUCCACGAGCUGGCCAUGGUGCGGCAGGGCUUCGCCGUCCUGGACGAGGACUCGCGGGCCAGUGCCCAGGCCGUCAGCCUCGCCCACGCCACCCAGUCCGCCGCCGACGACACCCAGGCCUACCACAAGUCAGCCCUGCUCUUCCGCAUGCUGCACUCCCUCAUCGGAACCCAGGUGUUUGUGAACGCGAUACGACUGUACUUGCGGCGCAGCCAGAAGGGUGCCACCAACCAGACGCUCCUGUGGAAGGCGUUCCAGGAGGAGUCGGACCGCCAGAUGAGCCUGCGCCAGGACAUCCAGGUGAGCCGGCUGAUGGAGUCGUGGACGCUGCAGCCGGGCUAUCCGCUGGUCAAGGUGGUGCGCGACUACGCCACGCAGCGGGUGACGGUGACCCAGGAGCGGUUUCUGCGCAACCCGCGGGUGGGCGGUGACAGUCCGGGGCCGAUAAGCCGCCGCCACUGCUGGUGGGUGCCGCUGACCUUCACAUCGGCGGGCCGCGAUAGCUGGGUGUCGGCGCUGCCCAGCGAGUGGCUGACCUGCCAGGCGUACCAGCCCGCCCGUCCGCUGGUCCUCACCGAGGUGGCCCCGCCCGACGAUUGGGUGGUCUUCAACCUGCGGGUGACCACGCUCUGCCGCGUCACCUACGACGACCACAACUGGUGGCUGAUUGGCCAGGCACUGGCCGGUCGGAAUGCGAGCAACAUAGACCGCUUCACCCGAGCCCAGCUGGUGAGUGACGUCCUUAGCCUGGCCGGCGCCGGGGUCGUGACCUAUGACCUGGCCCUCGGCUUCCUGCAGAACCUGCAGCGGGAGGACGAGUUCAUCGUGUGGCAAGCGGCUGCCAGGAAUCUGAGGUGGCUUCACCGCACCCUGCUCAACACCCCGAUAAUCUCUGUCUUUAAGAGCUUUAUGUGGAGCAUACUGCAGCCCAAGUUCGAUGAGCUAUUUGACCCGCAGACCCGAUCAGCCGGAAAAAACAACAAAUUGGACCUUAAAGGGCUUAUCCUGAAGCUGGCCUGCCAAACGGACAUGGGACCCUGUGCGGAUCUGGCCCUCAAGGAGUUCGCUGGUCUGACCCUCAAAAGCAAUCGCAUUCCGAUAGAUCAACGCGAGACCAUCUACUGCACCGCCAUCCGAUAUGGAACAGAGGCCGAUUGGACGUUGCUAAGGCGUCUGUACAAGCGAUCGAAUGUGGCCGAGGAGCGCGGAAUCAUACUCAGUGCCCUCACCUGUAGCCGCGAAAACUGGGCACUGGACAAAAUGCUCGGCUUGGCCUUCGGUAGUCGCUAUUUACCCAAGGGCGAUGUUUUGCUGAUAUUCAGCGCAGUGGCUCAGAAUCCCUUGGGCUUCAUCCUAGCCAAGCGAUACCUGGUGGACAACAUCCAGGCAAUCACUAAAUUGUACGGGGUACUUGGUUAUGGAAACAGCACCGAUGAGAUUGCCCAGCUCGUUACUGUGUUGAUGGAAAAGGUUAGCACGGAGAGUGAGCUCGACUAUCUACGAGAGCUUAUGAAAAAAGAUCUGAGGUAUCUACCGGGCAUUGAGGCCACCUCUCGACGUAUCCUAGAUCUUGGACAUGACAUUAUUGCCUGGCAUAAGAGACAGUACCUGCACUUGGUGUCCGCCGUCUGCAACAUUACCGGAUCCAUAGAGCCCCAGUGCUUGUACUAAGAAGAAACUGUGAUGAUUUCAUAGACCCCAAUCGAAUAGCAUCCAUGCAGUUGAAGGUUACUGUUAUUAUUAUUGCAAAAAUCACUAUACAUCCAUUUAAAUGAUAAUGGUAUAUUUUGAUAUUUUCAAAUACUCUUUGGUCAGAGUUUUUUUUAUUUUCAAACAAGGUUACUGCGGUAAGCUACACUGUUCUUGGCUAAAACUCGUACUGAAUGGUCACACUAGCACAACAACUCAGGUCAUUUUAGAUGACAUUCAACGUUGUAUAUUAUAAGAGAUAACGCAAACAACACAAAUUUAGUCUGUAGUUGAAAUUUUCGAAAAAAAAAUGGGUGCAAAUAUUUAUACUUGGUUGUCUUUUUUAAUUAUACAAGUCGUUUUAUAAAUAAUUUUGUGAAUUCAAAUCCUUAGCGAGUGGCGAGUUUAGCCAAACGAGUAUCACGGUUAUGAUUUGUAUUGAGGUGGCACAAUACGCAGGUCUAAAGCUUACUAUUCUCUCCAGCAAGGAGUCGGUAAAAGAGCAACAGUAUUACACCUGCUACCGCGACAUGUUCACUAUCUUUUUAAACAUAGUAACCUAAAAAAAAUCAAAAAUAAAUCAAAUACUUGCAAAGACUACACUUUUUAUACCAAACCGUUG